AUGUUCCUCUUAUUACUGAGCAUUGCUGCCAGCGUUACUCUGCUCUCAGGACUGAUCGUCACGCAGACUCCCGCCGACAUCAUCGCGGCAGUGGGCCAGUCAGCCACGCUUGAGUGUUCUCACCAAAAAACGAGCUACAACCAGUUGCUGUGGUACCGGCAGCGCGGCGUGGGCAUGCAGCUCAUCGGGUACAUGCACUUCAAAAACCCCACGAUGGAGCCUGACCAGGACGUGAAGUUGGAGGGGAGCGCCCAGAUCGGCGAAACGUGCAGGAUGAUUGUCCCCGAGCUGCGCCCAGACAGCAGCGCCGUUUAUUACUGUGUGGCUAGCGACCACGGUGCUGCGUCGUGCUAA